UACGUAGGAGGCGAGCGUUGUCCGGAAUUACUGGGCGUAAAGCGCACGUAGGCGGCUUUGCAAGUUAGAGGUGAAAGCCCGGGGCUCAACUCCGGAAUUGCCUUUAAAACUGCAUCGCUAGAAUUGUGGAGAGGUAAGUGGAAUUCCGAGUGUAGAGGUGAAAUUCGUAGAUAUUCGGAAGAACACCAGUGGCGAAGGCGACUUACUGGACACAUAUUGACGCUGAGGUGCGAAAGCGUGGGGAGCAAACAGG
rnacentral:rRNA from 1 species